UACGUAGGGGGCUAGCGUUAUCCGGAAUUACUGGGCGUAAAGGGUGCGUAGGUGGCUUCUUAAGUCAGAGGUGAAAGGCUACGGCUCAACCGUAGUAAGCCUUUGAAACUGGGAAACUUGAGUGCAGGAGAGGAGAGUGGAAUUCCUAGUGUAGCGGUGAAAUGCGUAGAUAUUAGGAGGAACACCAGUUGCGAAGGCGGCUCUCUGGACUGUAACUGACACUGAGGCACGAAAGCGUGGGGAGCAAACAGGAUUAGAUACCCUGGUAGUCCCUGA
rnacentral:rRNA from 1 species